UCCCUGCUGGCUCAGACAGUAAAGCAUCUGCCUACAAUGCAGGAGACCCGGUUUCAAUCACUGGGUGGGGAA
rnacentral:tRNA from 1 species